UACGAAGGGUGCAAACGUUGCUCGGAAUUAUUGGGCGUAAAGCGCACGUAGGCGGCCUUGUAAGUCGGAUGUGAAAUCCCUCGGCUUAACCGAGGACGUGCAUCCGAAACUGUGAGGCUCGAGUAUGGAAGAGGGUCGCAGAAUUCCCGGUGUAGAGGUGAAAUUCGUAGAUAUCGGGAGGAAUACCAGUGGCGAAGGCGGCGAACUUGACAGUUACUGACACUCAACUGCGAAAGCGUGGGGAGCGAACAGG
rnacentral:rRNA from 1 species